rnacentral:rRNA from 1 species
CAAAAUUCAACGGCCGCGGUACCCUAACCGUGCGAAGGUAGCAUAAUCACUUGUUCUUUAAAUAAGGACUUGUAUCAACGGCACCACGAGGGUUAAACUGUCUCCUUUUUCAUAUCAGUGAAACUAAUCUCCCCGUGAAGAAGCGGGGAUAAUUUUAUAAGACGAGAAGACCCCAUGGAGCUUUAAACCCAUAUACACUCCGCUUAACUCUACCUUUAAACCUCUCGGAUCCUGUAUGUUCUGGUUUUAGGUUGGGGUGACCGCGGAGCAUAAACUAACCUCCACAAUGAAUAAAUUUCUUCUUUAUCUAAGAUUAACACCUCUAAGAAUUAGUACUCUAACAUAAAAUGAUCCGAUAUUCGAUCAACGAACCAAGUUACCCUGGGGAUAACAGCGCAAUCUACUUCAAGAGCCCCUAUCGACAAGUAGGUUUACGACCUCGAUGUUGGAUCAGGGUAUCCCAGUGGUGCAGCAGCUACUAAAGGUUCGUUUGUUCAACGAUUAAAACCCU